CUACGGGAGGCUGCAGUGAGGAAUUUUGCGCAAUGGGGGCAACCCUGACGCAGCAACGCCGCGUGAGUGAAGAAGGCCCUUGGGUCGUAAAGCUCUGUCAAUGGGGAAGAAGUUAUUAUGUGUUAAUAGCACAUUUUAUUGACGGUACCCAUGAAGGAAGCACCGGCUAGCUCCGUGCCAGCAGCCGCGGUAAUACGGGGGGUGCAAGCGUUAUUCGGAAUUAUUGGGCGUAAAGGGCACGCAGGCGGUCCUGUCAGUCAGAUGUGAAAGCCCAGGGCUCAACCCUGGACGUGCAUUUGAAACAGCAGGACUUGAGUACGGGAGAGGAAAGGGGAAUUCCUGGUGUAGAGGUGAAAUUCGUAGAUAUCAGGAGGAACGCCGGUGGCGAAGGCGCCUUUCUGGACCGAUACUGACGCUGAGGUGCGAAGGCGUGGGUAGCGAACGGGAUUAGAUACCCGCGUAGUC
rnacentral:rRNA from 1 species